GGGCGGUUGGCUCAGAGGUAGAGCACCUCGUUUACACCGAGGGGGUCGGCGGUUCGAUCCCGUCACCGCCCACCA
rnacentral:tRNA from 1 species